rnacentral:tRNA from 1 species
UUAAUUGAAACCAAAGUAAGAGGUAAAUCACUGUUAAUGAUUUCAUUGAAAUUUCUCCAAUUAAA